rfam:Medicago truncatula strain A17 chromosome 2, whole genome shotgun sequence.
CUAGCUGUGAUGAGCCUCUAACAUGUAAGAAGGAUCCAUUUGUUGGGUUUAUUCAGUGAAAUUGAUUUGUUACGCUUGGCUUCUGAGCUUU